CCGGCCCGGAAAGACAGCGGUCCCGUGCGAACGGGCGAGAAAGGGAAUGCCGUAAGCCCCGGCAGGGUGGACCCGCACCCGGGGGCACAGUCGGCAACUGUACCCGCAACUGUAGGCGGAGAGUGCUCCAUCCAUUGCGGCAGCCGCCGCGACCACUGGCCCCGGCCGGGAAGGGGGAGGGAGUAUCAUGACCCGCAAGUCAGGAGACCUGCCGUUGUCCCUUACGAUAU
rnacentral:ncRNA from 2 species